CCCCCAAAAACCAUAGGGAGGAAAGAAACCAACAGGGAUGCCCCAGUAACGGCGAGUGAAGCGGCAAGAGCUCAAAUUUGAAAGCUGGCUCCUUCGGGGUCCGCAUUGUAAUUUGUAGAGGAUGCUUCGGGAGCGGUCCCCAUCUAAGUGCCCUGGAACGGGACGUCAUAGAGGGUGAGAAUCCCGUAUGGGAUGGGGUGUCCGCGCCCGUGUGAAGCUCCUUCGACGAGUCGAGUUGUUUGGGAAUGCAGCUCUAAAUGGGUGGUAAAUUUCAUCUAAAGCUAAAUAUUGGCCGGAGACCGAUAGCGCACAAGUAGAGUGAUCGAAAGAUGAAAAGCACUUUGAAAAGAGAGUUAAAAAGCACGUGAAAUUGUUGAAAGGGAAGCGCUUGCGACCAGACUCGCUCGCGGGGUUCAGCCGGCAUUCGUGCCGGUGUACUUCCCCGCGGGCGGGCCAGCGUCGGUUUGAGCGGUCGGUCAAAGGCCCUCGGAAGGUAACGCCCCUAGGGGCGUCUUAUAGCCGAGGGUGCAAUGCGACCUGCCUAGACCGAGGAACGCGCUUCGGCUCGGACGCUGGCAUAAUGGUCGUAAACGACCCGUCUUGAAACACGGACCAAGGAGUCUAACAUCUACGCGAGUGUUCGGGUGUCAAACCCGUGCGCGAAGUGAAAGCGAACGGAGGUGGGAACCCUCACGGGUGCACCAUCGACCGAUCCUGAAGUCUUCGGAUGGAUUUGAGUAAGAGCGUAGCUGUUGGGACCCGAAAGAUGGUGAACUAUGCCUGAAUAGGGCGAAGCCAGAGGAAACUCUGGUGGAGGCUCGUAGCGGUUCCUGACGGUGCCAAAAAUUGCC
rnacentral:rRNA from 1 species